rnacentral:rRNA from 1 species
CCUACGGGUGGCAGCAGUGGGGAAUAUUGCGCAAUGGGCGAAAGCCUGACGCAGCGACGCCGCGUGAGGGAUGAAGGUCUUCGGAUCGUAAACCUCUGUCAGCAGGGAAGAACGGUCACUGUGCUAAUCAGCAGUGAAUUGACGGUACCUGCAAAGGAAGCACCGGCUAACUCCGUGCCAGCAGCCGCGGUAAUACGGAGGGUGCGAGCGUUAAUCGGAAUUACUGGGCGUAAAGCGCUCGUUGGCGGUAUGUCAAGUCAAGGGUGAAAUCCCCGGGCUCAACGUGGGAACUGCCUUUGAAACUGGCAAACUGGAGUGUGUGAGAGGAUAGUGGAAGUCCAGGUGUAGGAGUGAAAUGCGUAGAUAUCUGGAGGAACAUCAGUGGCGAAGGCGACUAUCUGGCACAUAACUGACGCUGGGGAGCGAAAGCGUGGGUAGCAAACAGGAUUAGAUACCCCUGUAGUC